CCUACGGGUGGCUGCAGUGGGGAAUAUUGCACAAUGGGCGCAAGCCUGAUGCAGCCAUGCCGCGUGUGUGAAGAAGGCCUUCGGGUUGUAAAGCACUUUCAGCGGGGAGGAAGGCGUUAAGGUUAAUAACCUUGUCGAUUGGCGUUACCCGCAGAAGAAGCACCGGCUAACUCCGUGCCAGCAGCCGCGGUAAUACGGAGGGUGCAAGCGUUAAUCGGAAUUACUGGGCGUAAAGCGCACGCAGGCGGUCUGUCAAGUCGGAUGUGAAAUCCCCGGGCUCAACCUGGGAACUGCAUUCGAAACUGGCAGGCUAGAGUCUUGUAGAGGGGGGUAGAAUUCCAGGUGUAGCGGUGAAAUGCGUAGAGAUCUGGAGGAAUACCGGUGGCGAAGGCGGCCCCCUGGACAAAGACUGACGCUCAGGUGCGAAAGCGUGGGGAGCAAACAGGAUUAGAUACCCCGGUAGUC
rnacentral:rRNA from 1 species